CUGCGCCUUGCCAGCCGCCUCAGAAACUUAAAGGAAUUGACGGGGGCCCGCACAAGCGGUGGAGCAUGUGGUUUAAUUCGAUGAUACGCGAGGAACCUUACCUGGGCUCAAAUGUAUGUUGACGUAUUCUGAAAGGGAUACUUCUUCGGACAAUAUACAAGGUGCUGCAUGGUUGUCGUCAGCUCGUGCCGUGAGGUGUCGGGUUAAGUCCCAUAACGAGCGCAACCCCUAUCAUUAGUUGCCAUCAGGUCAAGCUGGGGACUCUAAUGAAACUGCCUACGCAAGUAGUGAGGAAGGUGGGGAUGACGUCAAAUCAGCACGGCCCUUACGUCCAGGGCUACACACGUGUUACAAUGGCCAGUACAGAGGGCAGCCACCCCGCGAGGGGGCGCUAAUCCUAAAAGCUGGUCCCAGUUCGGAUCGGAGUCUGCAACCCGACUCCGUGAAGCUGGAUUCGCUAGUAAUCGCGCAUCAGCCACGGCGCGGUGAAUACGUUCCCGGGCCUU
rnacentral:rRNA from 1 species